ACCAGUUGCAACGAAGUGAUAGUGAUGA
rnacentral:piRNA from 1 species